CCUACGGGUGGCUGCAGUCUAGAGGCUUCGGCAAUGCCCGCAAGGGUGACCGAGCGACGCCGCGUGCGGGAUGAAGGGUCUCGGCCUGUAAACCGCUUUUGCCAGGGAAGAAGGGGCGCCUCGUGAAGGUGCUUCGGACGGUACCUGGCGAAUAAGCCCCGGCUAACUCCGUGCCAGCAGCCGCGGUAAGACGGAGGGGGCGAGCGUUGUUCGGAAUCAUUGGGCGUAAAGGGCUCGUAGGCGGGCCUGCAGGUCUGGCGUGAAAUCUCCACCGC
rnacentral:rRNA from 1 species